rnacentral:rRNA from 1 species
GAGAUAUUUUUAAUAAAACAUGUUACUCUAGCGGUAAAAAGGUACGCCGGGGAUAACAGGUCGUAGAAUUUCAGGAGCUCUGAUCCUUGAAUUCUAUUAACACCUCCAUGUCGGCUCAUCACACCCUUGUACU